rnacentral:rRNA from 1 species
UGAGGAAUAUUGGUCAAUGGGCGAGAGCCUGAACCAGCCAAGUAGCGUGCAGGACGACGGCCCUAUGGGUUGUAAACUGCUUUUAUGUGGGGAUAAAGUGCGUGACGUGUCAUGCAUUGCAGGUACCACAUGAAUAAGGACCGGCUAAUUCCGUGCCAGCAGCCGCGGUAAUACGGGAGGUCCGGGCGUUAUCCGGAUUUAUUGGGUUUAAAGGGAGCGUAGGCUGUCUAUUAAGCGUGUUGUGAAAUUUACCGGCUCAACCGGUGGCUUGCAGCGCGAACUGGUCGACUUGAGUAUGCAGGAAGUAGGCGGAAUUCAUGGUGUAGCGGUGAAAUGCUUAGAUAUCAUGACGAACUCCGAUUGCGCAGGCAGCUUACUGUAGCAUAACUGACGCUGAUGCUCGAAAGUGCGGGUAUCAAACAGG